rnacentral:lncRNA from 1 species
GCGGAUCAAGAGGUUACGAUUGGGAAUCGACCGAUUGGUGCUACAGUUGGGAAUCGGCGGAUUGGCGCUUCAGUGUUUCAAGCAAUUGGCGGAUGGAGUUAACGGGAGUCGGCCGAUUGAAAGGUUGGAGUGAUUGGGCCAAUAUGGGCUUAAGGUGGGCUAGCAAAAAAAGAUGAAAAAAGAUUGGCCUGCAGGAGUAUGAUAACCAACUUCGGUACGAGUUGUGUUUGUAAAUAUUCGUUUUCGUUUAAAAUUAGAGAUAGAUCCUAGUCCGUUUGGAAAUUAGCUGUAACAGGCUAUAAAUAUCCAUCUUCAGAGAUUUGUAAAGGACACAUCAAUCAAUACAAACAAUC